rnacentral:ncRNA from 1 species
AAAUAAAGGCAAAACUAUUGAAAAAUAGUGACGCAAAGCUAAAGGGCCUUUAAAAUGGCAGCCAGUUAC